rnacentral:rRNA from 1 species
CCUACGGGAGGCAGCAGUGGGGAAUAUUGGGCAAUGGGCGCAAGCCUGACCCAGCAACGCCGCGUGAAGGAAGAAGGCUUUCGGGUUGUAAACUUCUUUUAAGAGGGAAGAGCAGAAGACGGUACCUCUUGAAUAAGCCACGGCUAACUACGUGCCAGCAGCCGCGGUAAUACGUAGGUGGCAAGCGUUGUCCGGAUUUACUGGGUGUAAAGGGCGUGCAGCCGGGAAGACAAGUCAGAUGUGAAAGCCCGCGGCUCAACCGCGGAACUGCAGUUGAAACUGUUUUUCUUGAGUACCGGAGAGGUAGUCGGAAUUCCUUGUGUAGCGGUGAAAUGCGUAGAUAUAAGGAAGAACACCAGUGGCGAAGGCGGAUGACUGGACGGCAACUGACGGUGAGGCGCGAAAGCGUGGGGAGCAAACAGGAUUAGAUACCCCUGUAGUC